GAAUGAGGUGAUGAAUAUUACAACAUGUUGAUGGCUGAUAUGAUGGCAUUUUAUCAUGUAUUAGCUCUAGCUGAUCAUCC
rfam:Ipomoea nil DNA, scaffold: scaffold0298, cultivar: Tokyo-kokei standard.